rfam:Lupinus angustifolius cultivar Tanjil contig_40777, whole genome shotgun sequence.
AAGUGCGAUCAUACUAGCACUAAUGCACCGGAUCCCAUCAGAACUCCGCAGUAAAGUGUGCUUGGGCGAAAGUAGUAGUAGGAUGGGUGACCGUCUGGGAAGUCCUGGUGUGGCACCUC